UCUGUUUUCAUUCAACCAGCGGUGUCGUAUCAAAAGGCGUUUAGCCCGGCCCAAGGGACUCUUAGACGCUUCGCCUAGUGAUUCAAAAUUAGAACUGAUUAUUUUUAAAAUUUAUAUUCUGUGAUCGUGGCUUUACUUAAUUUUUUUUUAUUUAUAAAAAAGUGUUUUUUACGGAUUUCGGCGGGAGUUUUGACAGAUAACUCCAUACUAAGAAUCUCUACAGUAUUAUAGUAAUUUAUUUUAACAAAAUGUAUCUGGUAAUACUGUUUGCGGCGACUGCUCUGCUGGGCUCCAGCCGGUCAGCGAAUGUCAACAAACACAUGAAGCUAUUGACAGAACUAGAUAACAGUAUUGAUAAUAAUGUGGCACCAACAAAACGUCAAUCAUUAGCUCGUCGGUUUCUUACGAUAACGCAGCGCCCCAACGCGACGUACGCGCACUCUAGCGGCGAAGUGCUAGAACUAACGUGCGACGCGGUCGGUGCGCCCGCGCCCUCUAUACAUUGGUU